rnacentral:lncRNA from 1 species
ACGGCUUCCACUAGAAGUCAACAGUCUUUACAAAGUUGUUUGAAGCGUCUACGAUGAACAGAGACCGAAUGAGAAGGAGGGGAACUUGUUGAGGCAGGGGAUGACAUCACUUCUUGGCGCACGUUGAUGAGAGUGGAUCCUCCGUUCCAAAACCUUUUUCAAGACACAGGAACUGAAAUAUUACUGAAUAUUCACGUUCUGAAGGCCCUAAAGAUUGAUGUUUUACAACGUUUGACAUGUUUGAACGAACGUAAAUACAACUUUUCUUUACUUUUCAUCGCGACAUCGUCUGCGCGCUUCCUACUUUUGGAGUAGCUUACUGAACGCACGAACAACAAGGAGUUAUUUGGACAAAAAUGAUGGACUUUAUUGAACAAAACAACAUUUGUUUGAGAUUCCUGGAAGUGCCUUCUGAUGAAGAUCAUCAAAGCUGCUGUAGGGAGACACCGACUCGACACCAAAAAUGUUGGAACUCAAGAACUCGGAUACCUGUCAACACCUGCUACCAACUAGCCAGCUAGCUAGCUAGAUUGCAACGGAACCCGCUUAACUUGGAAUAGCUAACAAACCUUUCCAGCCCAGUAGAAGCUUUGUUUAUUCCGCUCUUGUCCGG